CUUUGCCAGCAGCUAGUUCGCCACUUUUGGCAGCGCUGGUCAAGUGAGUACCUAACCACAAUAUGUCGCCCCCAAAGAAACGUAUCAGUGGGAGAUGUUGUCAUCCUCCGUGAGGACAAUCUCAUCCCUACUAAGUGGCCAUUAGCCCGUGUCGUACAGGUCUAUCUUGGGAGAGAUGAUCUGGUUAGAGUCGUAUCAGUGAAGACCGCUCAAGGAAUCUAUAAGAGACCCGUCACGAAAAUCGCUGUCGUUUUGCAAGUGGAAGAUGAAACUGUAAACUGAUAACUGAUAACCAACAUAGACUCAUGCAUGUAUUGUUAAGACCGUCCGGUCUUGGCCGGCGGUAUGUUUGUGGUUAGUAUGGAAUUUAUAUCUGUAUUUGUCUUGUUCGUUAUUGUUUCCUGUCUGUUGAUCACACUUUGUUGUUCUAACUCAUGGUACACUUUUACUGUUUGAUAAAAAGUUGUUAGUCUGCCUAAUCUUGUUCAAUCCUAGAGUAGCUCUAUACAGACAGCGUACUACAGAGUCCCUCGAGUGUAGACCUGAAUGAGCAGGACAUUCAGUCAUCACGAAAACUAUUUCAUCGAUAGCAAACCUGAGAAGACACAUGAGCAUGAGGGGACUCCCGUGGAUCACAAACGAGACACCUCCCGUAUUACAUGAGGAUGACAAACCGGAAUGUGAGUCAAUCAUCACACUAUUUCAUUCACACUCAGAGAUGGAUCACGUUCAUGAGGUGAGUCAUUCAUCACACUAUUUCAUCAAUCACUAUAACAUUCAGAAUACACCUCCCGUACUACAUGACAUCAUUAAUCAUCAAAAAUCGUGGGCGGAGCUUCGUUUUCGCUGAAUCAACAAUAAUUGCUGGUCCCAGUCCUUAAUGUACCUGAGUAAGUGUUGGUGAUGCCUCGGUGGAGAGCUACAUAACAUAAAGCUACUAACAUAUUUUACUGCGCAAACUCAAAGAGUGGAAAAGCCAAAAGUUCAAGUCUAAGCGCAGAGCUCUCUUCUCACGUUUGGCUACGUACUCAAGGCAUUCCAAGUAAGCAAAACUAGGCAUAACUCGAGAACGAAGCAUUAUUUUGCAAAUCCACGAAUCAAAAUCCAAGAAAACAUAGCUACUCAUCCUUGAGCAGCUGCAGCUGUAGCAGUCUACACAGACACACAAACAUACUACCGUAUACCUCGCUGGCAUAAUUAUGGUAGAUGCAUGUAGUAUAACCUACAGGCCUGGUAAUGGUCUAGAUUGAUUGAACUGUACAUGUAAUAUCUACAUAUUCAUUGAAGAAGCAGCUUACCAACGAACUUGAUGUUCAAAAUGUUUUCAUACACAGCUUGCAGAUUCUCCCUACCCUCAGGGUAAUGCCAGGAGGGAGACCAAUCACAUGUUCAGGUUUGAGAAGCUUACUUGUUUGAGAUUCACCAACAGCAAGAGCUGCAUUAAAAAUAAUUAUGAUCAUGAGUAUAAUUAUACCUGCUUGGAAACAACUCAUAAAACUCACAAUAUUUGGCGUUGUGCCUUUGCACGACUGAGCUUUCAUAUGAAUGUAACAGUGCUAAGAUAUAUCAAUUUGAAAUACAAUACGUACAUGUAUUAUAAUAUCGGUGAACGAUCUAUGAAAUUUACAAGCUCACAUAAAGACUGUUCAUUACUGCUAAUUCUAUUUUAGCUAUACUAUACUUACUACUGAUAUUCUAGCUAUACUAUACUACUUGCCAGAGUCACACAGUGAGCCCUCUCCUGGUCUUUCACCGUCCUGGUCCAUAGCUCUAGCGUCUAGGUCCAUGUCAUGCAUGUCCUCAGUCCCAGACAGUUCAUCAGCGUCUGGCAUAAAGCUGGUAGCCUUUGGGAGGCAUCCUACUAUCCCCUCUCCUUCAUAGGCACUGUCAUCACCAGAGGAGACAUUGCCAUUGCUGUCCUCAAGCUGUUCAAGCACAUUGGCACAAGUAAACAACCUAGCCAUAGCUAUAAACUUCGUGCGGUAAGAUGCUAAUGAAAUUUUAACAUAGCAACGUGGCUUGGAAAAUUCUAGACUAAAUUGCACGUGAUUCUACAGCUCUUCCUCUGUACAAGGACAAGGAUGUGCGUAGUCGAGCUACUUCCUAAAGUAUCGCAGAACUAGAAUUUCACAAAAAAGUCACUAUUGCGGGCCACGAUCGUGGCCCGUGACGGUUAAAGGGUUAAACUAUACUGGCUAUUUUUAAAACUCCAUUUUUUGACAGUCAAUUACAAUAUGAAAAUUACUUGUUACCAAAUGGACAAACUAAUUAACACAUGCAAUUAACACAUGCAUACAAAUUACCUAAAACAAGAAUGUUUUCACUUCAGCAAUGUCACUUCAGCUUACGUAUCAGCUCGACAAGAUCAGUCCUUUGCUCCUCGUACUCAUAUUGAUCGAGAAUUCCUUCGCUCCGUCAGUUGUUUCAUGUAUGUCCCUCUCAGUUUACUGGAGUAGACCCCACUGUUGGUUUGGGAGCCAAUGCCAUGUUCAUUACUGUCAUCAUACCCGGUGUCGUGCCUUGUGAGUGUUUCGAAUCUCUGUUAAACAUGGAAGCGUAGUUCCACACGCUAGCAUUUCUGCCCAUAGCUUGUACUGAACCACUUAUCGUUAUGUAACCCGACCAACUUAUGUUCAUACUCUUUGCCUCGACAGCCGAGGGGCCUUGUGAAGAACGCGAUUUCUUACUAACCAAAGGGCCACUGUCUCGAUCAUCAUCAUCAUGCUUACGUUUGUUAGACUGUCGAGGUGACACACCAAAGUGUUAACUUUUCUCCUCGACCAACACUUCUACCAACACUGUUCCAAACGUGUAUUUAUCCAAAGUUUUUUGGCUUGAACAAAAUAACCCACAUCCAUGUCUAGACCCAGCUUCUUUCAACUUAGUAGGACUAUCAAUGUUGUCCGGUGAUAAUCCACGCAAUGUAACUGUCUUAUAAUCUUUCUUGUUUUCAGGACACAGCACCUUUAAAUAGAAAUCGCUACCAGCUGUUGGUUGAGGCCUAGCUGCAUCUGAGGCCAAAUUGCACUUGCUGUGUACGUGUAGGAACAGUGUUAGAAGGGUACACAUCUUAGAAGGGUACACAUCUGAACGUUGCAAAAUGUUAUAGUUGAAAUUAGCCAUGUGAUGAUAGUUGAACUUUAAGAUAGCCACUUGACUACUGUGUGACUCUCUCAGUCUGUGCAGUCUAGCCUAGCUAAACAGUGCACAUUAAAUAGAGUUACAUGUGCUUGCUCAAAUGGGCAUGCGCAGCCAGAAGCCCAUGCCAGCCUGCCAGUAAUCAGACCACAAAACCACAAAACACUUAAACGAGCAUGCACAGUAUAAAAGGGGGCUGGGCAGUCCAGAAAAUGGACGCAUAUAAUUAUAUAAAAUGGUGGAAAUGCACACUUUCUCUGGGAGCUAAGCUAUAUAUAGCGCUCUGGGAGGUACUUAGAGAUCUAAGCCAGCAACCAGACACGUGUACGAGUAGUUUUCGCUAUGGCAAGUCAAAGAAAUGGUUUCAGACAUUCUCUAGUUGUCAAUUUUGACAAUCAAGCAGCUAAGGCUGCAUUGGCUGAGCAUGUACACUCUGUGCUUUCUCCUGCUGGACAGCCAACGCUGGACAACGCUGGUUUGAUGUCAGCCAUGUUUGACCUGGUUGAGCAGCUGAUGCCCGCGCCUUACGCGGGUAGUCCUAGUGUAGUUCCUGCAAGACAGUCUUUCAACAAAGACAGUGGCAUCUAUACUGGACCAGAUGAUGAAGCUGCAUUCCUCACUGAGAGGACGUGCCUGGCUGAUUUGUUGGAGGGGUUGAAGACAUCUUGCUCGUGUGGCUUAUCUGUCAACCCUUGGACAGUAGGAUCACCUGUUCAGAAGGGCCAUGUCCUGAGGCUGAAGUUCUCGUGCCGCAGAUACCAUGUCGCUGAGAGAACGUGGUCCAGCUCCAGAGUGUUUGGAGCGCGUUACUUGUUGACCCUACUUGUUGACCCAAAAAAUGGUUCAGUCUCACCUGUGCCGGUGUGCUGCCAGUCCAGUACAUCAAACUCUCUAAGUUUGCGGGAAUCGGCCAUGUUGGACAUGGGUACAUGAAGAAAGCACCAAGAAGAUAGUUGGGAUCUCUACAGUGUCUCGAACAGACCACGGUGUUGCUCAGACACGAGAAUUGCAGUGCACUAAGAUUGCUGUGCCACAGGCAAUUGCUCGUGGUCGGAAUGUUGUAGAAGUAGCGCAUGACAUGCAGCAUCAAGUGUCCCGUUACGUGACCUCUGAUCUGGGGACUGAAGAACUCCUUUGAUACAUGGCAUGGUAGUACACUGCAUGUUCAGAACUGUUUUAUUCAGGGACCAAGAAUAUGUCAAAGUGUCUCCAGAAGGUUACUCAGGGUCGAGUUAGAGACAUGGGACUGACAUGGUUUCCUGAGCUGGUUGACAAGCGCAUCUAUACUGGGCUAUGAAGAAUUGUGAUUGUGAUGGUGAUGGCCAAGAAAAUAUCGCUAUGCACUAUCAGGACAACCACCUUGAAUGCCACCCUUCAUCGACUUGUCAUCUCCCUCACUACGCUCCUGGCAAGGAUCUGCUGACUGACCCGGCUACUUGUCCAGCAGCUGGAGAAACAAUUGAAAGACACCUACAUCUAUCGCUUCCCAGAGUCCUUAUGUGUAGGUGAACCACCAGCUUCUCUGCUACAUCUCAUUCUCUGCUACAUCUCAAAGAGGAUCCACUUCUCUACCAGAGUUUUCUCUAUGAGAAUGAACUUGGCUGUGUUGGACUGGAAAGAGAACGUGGGACGAGAGCACACAAGCGAGCGCAAGUUGAAAGACCUUCGGCGACCUGACCGCAGAACUGCCAUGAAAGCUCUCGUCAAGAAAACGUAUCAGUUUGCUUUUGUACUGUGGACCACCUACGUUACAAAGAACAUGACAAGCUUGGAUUUUCUUGAUGAAGAUGAUGGCGAUGAUUCUGAUAUUUUAGAAGAUGGGGAGAUUGUACCUGAUUCAGACAGUGAUUACGAGGGUGAUGAUCCUGGCUGUGUGGGACCAGACGUCUGAUUGUCGUGGCAUGAUGUCUCUCCUGUCAUCCCUUGCAGUGCGCAGCUCCUUUGCUCUCAAGUACUCCUCGUACUCCUCGUCCUGCCACACCCCAAGCGUGUUCAGACACCUCCAAAACAGCUUGUUAGAGCCUGUGUCGCUUCUCUGCAUUGGCUGGAUGUGGGUCACAUGAUCCCUUCAAAAAUGUUGGAGGCUGUUGAACGACGCACGGGGCACAGAAACAGUGUGGACAGUGGUUGAGCCCUCUGUGGACGGGCACAUUAUGUUGUAGUGUCUCGUAACCACGAGGAAGAUCGCGCACACUCACAUCUGCUGAAAGAAAGCGAUAAUAAUUGGCUAAGUUGUACACGUAUUGUGAUAUGGUCACUUACCUUGCCUAUCAAUUUCAUUCUCUGGUCUAGAUCUAACCACCCUCUCCCGAACGAUCUCUGCCCUUAAACCCUCUUGUUGGCUGGUGAUCACGAAUGAAUUUGUUUAAUUCUGAGAUGAAAACUUGAGGAGGAAUAUCGUCGUAUUCAACUCUAACCUGUAACCUGGAACAAAACUGUGUAUAGCUUCAUAUUGUUUGUAUUGGUCUUACUUUUAUUGGUCUUACUUUUAUGGUUUUUGCAGCCAUAGUAAGCGCUAGCAAAGAUAAUAUAUCUCUGUGGAUAGUAUAGCUAGCUGUGUGUGUAAGUCUUGCGGCACAAUUUGAAAUUGUAAUCACUUCCUUCCGGACUGCCCAGCCCCCUUUUAUACACGGGUGCGCGGCGUGCUAUCGCGCAUUAAUAUCUGACGCAUGCUCGUUUAAAGAGCCACCGCCUA